UACGGGGGGGGCAAGCGUUGUUCGGAAUUACUGGGCGUAAAGGGCUCGUAGGCGGCCAACUAAGUCGGAUGUGAAAUCCCCAGGCUUAACCUGGGAACUGCAUCCGAUACUGGAUGGCUUGAAUCCGGGAGAGGGAUGCGGAAUUCCAGGUGUAGCGGUGAAAUGCGUAGAUAUCUGGAGGAACACCGGUGGCGAAGGCGGCAUCCUGGACCGGUAUUGACGCUGAGGCGCGAAAGCCAGGGGAGCAAACGGG
rnacentral:rRNA from 1 species